rnacentral:lncRNA from 1 species
AUCAUCUCUCCUAUGAAUGGGAGUUAAUGUCCAGCUUCUGUAAUACUCAUUAUGCAUUUUUUCUAGACAAAUGACUACAUAAAUGGUACUAAUGAGUCUUUAAAUUCACGUUCCACAUCUUAAUAAAGUUGCAGCAUAAUAUAAUGAAUUUGAACUAUUAUAGGGAGAAAAUGUGUGUUAGUCUGUUCACUAGAGAUGAAAUAGUUUUCUCCAGUCUCCCCAUUCUUUAGUAAAAAAGUUUGCAAUUUGCUAGACAGCUAGUAGAGUGCCUUGACCUACGAAGAAAUAAGUUUCAGCCAUCCCAUUUUUUGGUUUCCUAAUGUUAAAUCCCUCUGUUGCACACUCCGAAUAUCCAGUGCCAGGCAUUCAGGGUUGUUAAGGGUCUCGCAUUGGUUGAGGGAAUGGGUUGUUGUCUCCGUUUAUGGUAUAGGAAAAUCCUCACCGUAUGAGUUAGCUUGAAUUAAGCCAUCUCUGAUCCACUUCUUUUUAUGUAUUAAAGCAGGAAGGUGUCUUGGUUCCAAGUCUCAUCAACAUUAUCAAAAGGAAUUUUCAUGUGCUUUGCUGAAGAAAAAAAAUAAACCUACAUGUGAGGGGUUUGUUGGUAUUAAAGAUGAAACUUUUCCUGUGUCCAAUCUUAUCAACAUUGUCAAAGGAAUUUCCAUGUGCUUUGCAAAGAAAAGAGUCAAACCUGCACAUCCAAAAAAAAGUUACUUAAAGUGAACCUUCUCUAAUAGUUUAAGCUUUUAAAUAGGAUCCGACUUUACGUGUAUUUGAGUUCUCCUUUUUCUUAAAGAGCACAAGUUACUCGUUGAAGGACCACACUCCUUGAUAUCUUUAACUGGGGCUUCAGUAUCUUGACCGAAGCAAUUAGCCGGUUUUAUUUUCUUUGUGCUCAUACUUGUGUAGAUUCUAAGCCGGGGGUCUAUCGGAAACAACCUCUCUACUUCACCUAUGGUAGUGAUAUGGACUCCGUACACUCUACCAUCCCUAAACCCCACUAGGUGGGAAUACACUGGGUAUGUUGUUGUUGUUGUUGUGCUCAUACUUGAGUAAGUCGGCAUGAUGUUAAUUAAGCUGUGGGAAAGAUGCUAAUUAAGUUACUAAUUAUGUAAACUGGUAGCUGUUUAUAUUUGUAAGAAUAGCCGGAGGAGGAAAAAACGUUUUCAUUUGAGGAACGAGGUCAAGUAUAGCAGCUUUCAAGUUAUUUGGGCGUGGUGUAAAAGGGUUUCCCAUCUUUAUUCCUUGGAGUUUGAAUUCUCCUUUCUUCCCUUCAAGUGAGGUGUAUGAGGGAUAAAAUGAUGGUUAAAGUCUAUGUGUCCAAUCAUUUAUUGACAGUAAGAGAGAGCGCCUUCCUAAAGGAUAAAUGCUAAUGUUAUGGACAGUCAACUCUACAAGCUGUAUUAGAGAAAAUAACAACGAUAAGAGAGCACCUGCUUUCCUACAAUAUAAGCAUAUUUAUGGACUCUACUAUAUACCCAAUGCACCUCUUACUUCUAUGGCCUGUGUAAAGGAAUUAACACAAUGGAGGCGGUAAAAAAUAUAAUUUUAUUGAAUUCUUCCUCUUCUUAGGUAGUGUGUGAUAGUUUGGAUAAACCAAAUUGGAAUGUUAGACCCUCAACGGUUGGCAUUCAGAGUGUUUGUGUGGCCCAUUUAAAAGAAAAAGAUGUUGAUUCACCAAUGUUCUUUAAAAAGAAAAAAGAGUAUCAUUAAUGCCUUUCAAAAGAAGAAGCUGGCCGUCUCAGCUUAUGUUUCCUUUUUCUUCGUCCUCCUCUUUUUUUAAGCUUGUGAUCUUAUUCUUCAAGUCAUUAGAUGCAUUUCUUGAGCUGUUACCGAGUUUUUUGACCUUUUUCUUGAAAGUGUCCAAAUGGCCACACGUUAUGCGUGAAGUGCAAGUCAAAAGUACAUGUAUGUCCAAUUUGCCGCCAUGAGCUUGGAAACAUAAGAUGUCUAGCACUGGAGAAAAUUGCUGAGUCGCUAGAAUUACCAUGCCGAUACCAAAUUUAUGGCUGUCAAGAUAUUUUCACUUAUCAUACAAGGUUGCGACAUGAACAGAGCUGCAGAUUUCGACCAUACAAUUGUCCAUAUGCAGGAUCUGAAUGCGCUGUUACUGGUGAUAUUCAGUACCUCGUUGCACACCUAAAAGAUGAUCACAAGGUUGAUAUGCAUGAUGGGUGUACCUUCAAUCAUCGUUAUGUCAAGUCUAAUCCUCAAGAAGUUGAGAAUGCUACAUGGAUGUUGACAGUUAGUUUUCUCUCUCUCUCUCUCUCUCUCUACCUUUUCACUAUGUUGCAUAUAUGGUUUUUUAUUUUUCAUUAUACAGUUGCACAGCUCUGAAACAGCCUCUCACCCCAUAAAGUCAGGGCCUGUAGGGAUACGGCUGCGUAUAUUUUAUCCUCUCCAGAUUCUACUUGUGGGAUUACACUGGGUUUGUUGAUGUUGUUUAUGUAAUGUGUAAAAGUUUCACAUCGUCAUAAAUGGAAAUAAUGUAAUAUAUAUUGACUGUUUAAACAGAGAUUACACGCAGUAAUAAAAAUCCUUAUACAGAGAUUACAGUCAGUAAUAAACAUCCUUACUUCCAGAUCUGAAAAUUUCCAUUUAAAAUGCCUAUGAUAAUACCUAUCUGAAAAAGGAAUGUCUAUCAUGAGAGUUGACAGGGUUAGUUGGAUAGUUCGUUUCUUUUGUACAGAUGUGUGACUGGCGUCAUCCCUCAAGUAGUAGUUGUUUGAGGGUCUCAAUCUCCAAACCAACAUAUAACCAUGGGAUGUGUAUACCAUUAUUAUGUUUUAUGUGGGAAGCUCUAAGAACUACAGUAUUUUUUUACCAGGUAACAACGACAACAACAUACCCAGUAAAAUCCACAAGUGAGGACUGGGGAGGGUAAAGUGUACGCAGACCCUACCAGUACCUCGGGGAGGUAGAGAGGCUGUUUCUGGAAGACCCUCGGCUCCUUUUUUUACUAGGUAAAGGGAAAUAAUUUUAUUAAUGUUUGUGGGAGCCUCGUAUACAAGCCAAUAUAUCAAAAAAUAGAACCUACAACAUAAUAUGGUUCUCAACAAAAGAGGUUCAAUCCUCUCUCUAUACACGUAGGGACCUCAAAAGUACACUAAAACGAAACUGGAGACAAAAAACUACUUUGCGAUCUAAAAAAGCUUGCUCCACUCCUUCAAAAGCCCUCCUAAUUCUCUUUUUCCAACUAACCUACAUGAUUGCCAAGGGUACUCUGUGUGCCCUUGGGCUUUUCUUCCCUCCCGUAUGAGUCCAACUUUGCACAGGCUCCUUCACUGUGCCUGGGCAGCACCCCUUGCUUCCCAAACAAGUUAAGGGACACCCUUCAUAGCCUAUUACCUACUCUACAAUGCAAUAGUAGACAUGCUCACCCCCACUCUUGCAUAUAAAGCAGCAGCUGCAAUAGGUAAUCCUCCUCCUCCUCGGAUUUUCCGCUGUUUACACCCCUUGCCGCCAACCAUACAAAGAAACACACCUUUCUUGAAACUCAAGAAAUCCAAAUGGAGUUGUGAUGGAAGGAAUAUUCCUCUCACAAGCAAACUCUUAUAAAAAGAGCUGACAGUAACCAAGAAGGUACUGGCAGUACCGUCUGCAAAAGAGUACAACGAACAAAGGGGAACUACAAUGACUCCAUUCAUCUAUAAUAUCAUGGAGUCCCAAAAAAAAGAAGUUCCAAGUUCUCCAUCCUGUGUACCUUGCUCCAGAAAAACAAGCUGCUAUACAUUUAGAUAUACCUACAGAAACACACUUAUCUUUUCUUCAAAACAUCUCUUGUUUCUUUCCUGCCAAAUAUUCCACAUGAUGCACCAAGGGAUAGUCCACCCAAACUGUUUCAGGCUGCUCCUAAUGUUUUGUUCCCUCCAGCUUGACAUUAGACUCUUGACAUUCUUUGGCAUCACCUGCUGCACCCCAAAAAUGUAUGAAGUCUAAACCUGGCAGGUUGAAUCCCAGUUUUCAGCUUGAUUUUGCAACAACCUUGUAGCAAAUAAUUUCCAAAUUGUGUUUUCGCAAGGGGUUGUCAUAGGACUGGGCUUCCAACUGUCUGCUUCUCCAUAUUUACUACUACUUCCGUUUCCAUUUAUUUGUCUUACUUUUACUUUCCUUUUUAAUCUCUUUAAAAAAGAAUGCCUCUUUUCCCUUUUGGUUACAAGUAUAUGACACAUUUAAGACCACAAGAUUAAAUGACAUUUUUGUAUAUUCUACAUAUCUUUAAGGUGUGUUUGGUAUGGAGGAAAACAUUUUCCGGAAGAUGUUUUCUUAUUUUCCCAUGCUUGAUUGAACAAAAUUUUUGGAAAACAUUUUUUCUAGGAAAACAAGUUCCUUAAACUGUGGAAAAUGACUUCCUUAAUGAAAGUGGGAAACAAGUUCUAUAAUUGACAUUAUGUAUUUAUGUAUCCUCUCACCCACCCAACAUUCCCCAACCCCUACCCUUUGACCACCCCCGAGGCCCCACCCCUCCCUCCUCUAUAGUGUUUUGCUAGAUUAGAUAUAAAUGGUGUUGACAUAGAUAUUUUUUGCUUAUCAAAUACUAGAAAAUAAGUAAGAAUUUUUUUUUUUUUUUUGAUAAUCGUGAUGUUUGGGCCAGCUGGCACGCGCCUAGACUAAUUGCAUGGGAUACCUGCCACCUUCCACCAGCAACAAGUACCAAGGCUUGAACAAAUGGGAUCAAAUCACUCGUGUUUGUUUCAGUUGAAAAUUGAACCUGAGACCUCAUGGUGUUCAAUCUAACUUCAUUGAAUUACUAGGCCACGCCCUUGGGUACAAGAAACCAACUUACAUCUUCUAGGAAAGCAUUUUUCCUGGAAAAUAUUUCCUUUACACCAAAUACACCCUUAGUUUAAGACCACAAUAUUCACAGGCCUUUUUUUACUUUGUUAAAUUUCAUGUCAAGUUAAAGCCAGACAAUCAAAUUGAAGCCGAUUGAGUAAUAAUCAAUUCUUUCCAAGUUUCCUCCACAUCUUCAUUAGUCUCCAUAAUUUUACAAUGAUAACGUUGAACAGCCUUUCUUGGAAGGUGACCAAAUCUCUAUAAGAUUCACAUACACUUUUUAGAUGACAUUGAAAGAACUUUCCUUAGAAAUCAUUCUUAACUGUCCAAGAAGAUCUGGACUAAUGAGAGAAACAACGAACUCAAAGUUGGUGGCCUCCUGUUUGAUGCUUCGAGGAAAAGGAUGUAUGCAUUUUGACAUUUUGUUACAUCUAUAACUGUAGUCUGUGAAAAAGGAGAGCAACUGAUAGCUGUUUCUGUUACUUUCUUGUUCUCAAAGUUGGCGGUCUCCUAUUAGAUACUUUGAGGAAAAGGAUGUAUGCAUUUCGACAUUUUUUACAUCUGUAACUUUAGGUUCUUUAUUCAUUGUCAUGUGAGCUACUUGAAUGCCCUGUUUGUAUGAAUCCAAUGUACCCGCCAAUUCAUCAGGUAGGUUCUAAUGUCGCUUAAAUUGGAAUGGCAGCUUUGCAAUGAGAGUGCUUUGGAUCUCUUGAAGAUGACUGAUAAGGAUUGGAUAAAAAUGCUACCAUUUCUUCACAAGUAGUCAUCGUUUUUCUAAAUGAUUAUGGAGCACCAGAUUGUUUAUAGUUCCAAUCUCUAAAGAAUUUAUUGGGUAGUGAAUGGUUUGAUUUCUAAGAAAAAGUAAUACUGAUACACUAUCAUACAUAAGUUAGAUGCUAUCAUCUCUCCUAUGAAUGGGAGUUAAUGUCCAGCUUCUGUAAUACUCAUUAUGCAUUUUUUCUAGACAAAUGACUACAUAAAUGGUACUAAUGAGUCUUUAAAUUCACGUUCCACAUCUUAAUAAAGUUGCAGCAUAAUAUAAUGAAUUUGAACUAUUAUAGGGAGAAAAUGUGUGUUAGUCUGUUCACUAGAGAUGAAAUAGUUUUCUCCAGUCUCCCCAUUCUUUAGUAAAAAAGUUUGCAAUUUGCUAGACAGCUAGUAGAGUGCCUUGACCUACGAAGAAAUAAGUUUCAG